rnacentral:rRNA from 1 species
GAGUUUGAUCAUGGCUCAGAACGAACGCUGGCGGCAGGCUUAACACAUGCAAGUCGAACGCCCCGCAAGGGGAGUGGCAGACGGGUGAGUAACACGUGGGAACGUGCCCUAAGGUUCGGAAUAUUCCCGGGAAACUGGGAGCAAUACCGAAUGUGACCGCAAGGUGAAAGAUUUAUCGCCUUAGGAUCGGCCCGCGUCGGAUUAGCUAGUUGGUGGGGUAAAAGCCUACCAAGGCGACGAUCCGUAGCUGGUCUGAGAGGACGACCAGCCACACUGGGACUGAGACACGGCCCAGACUCCUACGGGAGGCAGCAGUGGGGAAUCUUGGACAAUGGGCGCAAGCCUGAUCCAGCCAUGCCGCGUGGAUGAUGAAGGCCUUAGGGUUGUAAAAUCCUUUCGUCAGGGACGAUAAUGACGGUACCUGAAGAGAAGCCCCGGCUAACUUCGUGCCAGCCGCCGCCGUAAU